UGCCAGCCGCCGCGGUAAUACGAAGGGGGCUAGCGUUGUUCGGAAUUACUGGGCGUAAAGCGCACGUAGGCGGAUAUUUAAGUCAGGGGUGAAAUCCCAGAGCUCAACUCUGGAACUGCCUUUGAUACUGGGUAUCUUGAGUAUGGAAGAGGUAAGUGGAAUUGCGAGUGUAGAGGUGAAAUUCGUAGAUAUUCGCAGGAACACCAGUGGCGAAGGCGGCUUACUGGUCCAUUACUGACGCUGAGGUGCGAAAGCGUGGGGAGCAAACAGGAUUAGAAACCCCUGUAGUCC
rnacentral:rRNA from 1 species